UUUUUUUUUAAUAUAUAUAUAUAUAUGUAGGAGUAGCAAUAUAAGUUACUCAUAUAUAUUUAGAGGAUUUACAUAUAUUGCAGGUAUGCCAAUAUCAUUUUUCCUUUUAAAGUUGAGUAAGCAAAUAUAUAUAUAUAUUUUCUUUUAUGCUGUUAAAUUCCUUUUAUCAGCCAGGUUUCCCUUCACUGGAAAGGUACAUAGAUAUUUUAGCAACAUUGGCUGGACAUUGUUUGCUUUCUGUAAUUAUUCUGUUGAAUAGAGGUACUAACAAUAAAGUCUGAUGAAUUUUGAGUAUAUUAUGGAAGAGUAUUUGCAAAAAGCAAAUUCUGAAUGAUUCAUAUCAGAUUUUUGAUAUGAAAAAUCAAGCUUCUGAGAUAGAAACAUAUUAUGUGCCUACUGACCUAAUCAAGCAGCUUGAAUUUUGAAUAUUCAAUUUGUAUAUAAAGCUUUUGCAAAUAAACUGCAGAUUUAGACUUGUUCAGCAAAUAUGUUUAAUUACAAGUAAUCUCUGAAAUUUCACAGCUUGUUUUGAGAUAAUUCAUACACAAGAAAAUAGGCUAUAAUUGUGUCAUUUCUGUGAAUUGUUCACCUUAAAUUGCUGGGUGAACUCAAUAAAUAACCUUCUUUUAUUUUUCUUUCCAGUUAAUGAAUUUCACAUUAAAAAAAAAAAACAAAAUGCUUCAGAAUUUUGUUUAUGCUAACUAAAUAUUGUGUUGUUUUCUUUCUUUACUGUCUGAAAUAUAAAUCUGCAGAUUAGUAUGUUUCUAUUUACACUUAAAAGUAUGACAAUUUAAUGGUAUUUAAUAUCACAUAAAAAUCAUACAAAAUAAUACCAUGACAAUUAUGUGCUUGUCUCAGAUUUGUAGUUUUGCAUCUGUAUUAUUUAAUUAUUGUCAACUGUUUCUCGUAUUUUCAUCUACAGCUGUUUGACAUCACAAACCUCAUCAACCUGAAUCUCUCCAGAGGCCAUUAGCAGCUGGUAAAACCUGGGAUUUUCAUCCCACUUGAAAUUAUGAUAUUAUGAUAAUUAAUAUCAUAAAAAAAUUAAAAUAUUUCUCAGCUUCUCACAUGAGACUGACAAGUAAGGUAUUGACCCUUUAUGAAUGCAAAUGAAAAGGAAGGGGUUUGGAAAUGUCUAAAUAUCUUGCUUGAGGUGUAGCGUAAUAAAAAACAUUUCACUUUGGGAUGCAGUUUUGAUUCAAACCAUUUUGUUUGGUGUUCAGCUGUGGCCACCAAGGCUCUCACUCUGUCUUCUAAUAGUUAUAUUUUUAAAGGAAGUUAUGCUUUUAUAGUCUUUUAUGGUCUACACAAACUAGUUUAUCCAAAUUCUACUGUGAUAAAGAAACCCAAGUCACUCAGAGAUUACAUGGAUGCAAGACAGUCAUAAAAUCAAAUCAGAGAAAUAAUUUUGUCAUAAGCCAAAUGACCUGAUACUCCCCUCAGACAAAAUGGUAAUUAAGGAGAACAUGCAUUAAUAUUCCAACAACUGAAAUGUAAACUAACUAUUUAAUACAUCCGGUACAUUCUAUUUAUUUAUUCCUUCAUUUAUUUAUUUAUUUAAAUUGUAGAUUGACUAAUGUUUAUAUCUACAUUUUCCCAUCUUCCUUUUCUGCCCCUUUCCCAUAAAAACAGCAACACCUUACCAGCCAGUUCUAGUCAUUUCUGAAAUAUCCACUUACGUAAAUGAGAAAUUAAACUAAUGUUAUCUUCUUGUUUUCCCUACUACAUGUGACUCUCAAAUACUGAAAGCAUAAAAAGUUCUUCCUCUACUACCUCUUUCCAAGGGAUUGUAGUUUACCCAAACACUUCAGAGUAGUCCUAUUCCCCAGAUUCCAGGUUGAAUUAAAAAGGAAAGGCUAUAGUCAGAACAGGCAUAUAUAGGAUAUAUAAGGUUAGACUAGAGAGCAGAGUUAAGUUUCUCUCCAACAGCCAAAAACAUGGCACAAAACCAAAAACAACAAAAAAACACUUUAUUUAUGCUUUAUUUAAAAAUAAUGAUAAUAAUAAUCUUUUCCAGAGAUCACUUUUUCUUCCCUCAGCUUGUGAUAUACAAUGUAACACUUUUUGUUCUACCUAACUCAAGUUUCAUGUCAUCCCAUAUUCAUCCCAUAUAUCAUGAAUUCAUCAGAUACUUCCCUCAGAGGUACAGAUAUGUUUCCAUUGCAUUUUUUGCUGUCACAUCAGUUAUGUUUGUCACUGGACUUGUUCCAUUCUGUGCUGUAUGACUGAGAGUAUUUUUUCAUCUUUUUCCUGGCUCUGUUUUAGGUGUCCAAAAUGUUCCACUAAAGGAAUAUUUGCAUAACAAUAUCUAUAAUCCUUGAAAUGUCUCAAUUUGUAUGGAUGUCUGUAGUUUAUGUCAGCCCAAGAGUUGUGGUUUGACAUGGUGUAUGUCUUAGUAGGAAAUGUCAGUUUGAAACCAGGUCAUCCUGUUACUCUGCUGUUUAUAUCAUUGCUAUUAUUCAUUGUCAGCAUUUUUUUUCCUAUAUUGAUCUUGAAUCAAGGAUAAGUUAAAUUAGUCUCUCAUCCUCUCGCCCAGCAGUAUUUCUCAAAUUAAGCUGCAUCAUCAGAACAUACAAAAUAUUUCUAAAAUAUUUAUAGUUCUUAAACCUUUUAUAAAAUAUCUCCCAUCAGAGCAAACUAAUAGAUGUCAGGCACAGAUAGCCUUGUAUGUCAAGAAUUCAUGGUAUAAGUGGGUACUGGCUCCCACUUGAAGAGACUUGUUUCACAUAUCUGUGAAAAUAAAUAUAGUUACCAUUAACAUGAUUUAAAAUGUCAUUACAUUGCAACAAAUUAAACAAGACCUUAAGGUAAAACUCAUAGAAACUGCAAGUACUGAGGACCACACUCAUAUCCUGCAUUAGUGGUUAUUUUGUAAAAGCAACAACAUGCAAUUUGAUAGAAGUUGCAUGACUGUUUAGUACACUUCAGUCACUGGAUAUCCGACUUCAGAAGCUAAAGUGGAAUUUGUAUAUUUUAGGAAAAUAAGAUAUUACAAAAGCAUUUUUAAUAGAGUUUGUGCUUUCAAGAUUGCCUAUAAGCAGUAGCAAAGAAAUUGCAGGAAGAAUGGUUUAAAAUAAAUAGGAAUCAAAUGCAUAUUGUUUCUAAAUGAAUGUGUCAGGCAGAAAUAUAAUAUUAUAUAAAAUGGUAAGAUAUGAACUUAAAACAGUGUGAUGGAUUUCUAUGUGGAAGGUCAACAGAAAAAAAAAAUACUCACUCAAAAGAUAUAUUUUUACAGGGACUAAAAUGAAAUCAGUACAGGUGAGAUUAUAAUGAUAUUUUGACAGAAACAUGGUAUUAUAAUGCUAUACCACAUGGAUUUAGAUACAUUGAACAUAAUCUAUAGAGCUCGUCUGGGUAUUGAGAAGUAUAAAAAUUAGAUCCCAAUAUGCCCUACAUUUGCCAGGCAAUAGUGCUGCAAUAGUAGAUAAUUCAGCAAAGUGGUACGUGCAGUUGUGUCAGGAAAUGACAAAAUAAACUUUCAAAUCACUUUAUUCCAACAAGGCAACAUACCAGACUCAAUAAAGAGGUAAUAAUGAAAGAAGCAAGGUACCGUUCCUGUCUGGAGAGCCAUCCUCUAUGUGGGGGCCAACAGAGGAGGAUUAUGCUCCAAAUCUACUUUUCUUCUCAUAAGGAAGGUCCCUGGAACAGGCAGUGUUCCAGUAACCAUUUGCCCUUUCACCAUCAAAAAUGGUGUUUGUAUUUAUUAGAGGUCCCUCUAAGCUGAAGCUGGGAUCAAGAAACAAUAGUAACUGGUUGCUGUUUACCAGCAUUUUUUUUCUUUUCUCAGCAAAGGACAAUGAGGAAGAAGUAGGGAUAGAGGAACAAUAUGCUACCAGCUUUUCCCAGUGCACAGAGAGAACCAGCCAAGCUCCUCACUGUUUGGAGAAGAGCUGUCAUUUGCAAGAAAAGGCUAUGGAGGCAUUCAAGGGACAGUGACCAAUGUACACAAGCUUUUCUUCAGACUGACACACAGAUAUAACUGAGGGGAAGGUGAGAAGAUAACUUUGAUUGUCUAUUUUCACCAAUAUAGUGAAAAUAACUUCUCAUCUAUCAUAAUUCUGUUGCAGACCUCAGUUGUUCCUCAGAGAAAAAGAAAGAAUACAAUUCAUCUACGGGAAAAAAUAAAAAUAAAAAAAAAUAAAAAUAAAAAGAGGUUAUGGGUAAAAGUGAGUGAUGCAGAAUGGACAUAACCAAGUCAGGAGGAUGGCAGGAGCUACAGAAGAAAAGGGGCUGUAAACCACAGACACAUGACAAGAAACUGGGAAGCGAUAUGAACUCACAGGCAGUUCAGAAGAAAAGCAGGAAGAGAGAAGAAACAGGAAGCCCAUAAUACUAAGAAUAAAUAAAAAUCAGAAGACAAUACAUAUGACAAAGAAGUAAUAUUGGACUGCUGAGUUGUGUUUACAUUAGUAUUUUAUUUCAGAAGCAUACUGUUAAAGCAAGCCUCCCAAUUCCCAUUUAUCAAACUUCCCUCACAAAUUAAACUUUGGAUCCUAUUAAAAGCAGUCUUGGAGCAGAUGAGUUGGAUUCAUUUUGCAUGAAGAUACCUAUUAAACCAUAUGAUCUAUGAGUGCACCUCAUGCUUCUAUGCAAAUUCCUGAGAUCUUGAAAUUUUUGUUUUGGAUGCAAAACAAAUUAUUUUUUAACACUUCCCCACAGCUUUGGCGCCAGUCUUUGUCAUUUUUGUAUUUAAUGGGUCACAAGUUUAGGAAUACUGGUUGUUGAUUUAUGUUAGACAUUGGAAAUAUCUAUUAUAAAAUGAUAGACAUUUCUCACUAUAUCACAGUUAAUUCAUCCUGCUGUCUAAGAUCAUCUAGUGGUACACUGCCUUUGAUUUCAACUGCAAAGUGCCUCCGAAACUGUUGAGUCCCCAAACCAUUUGCAAAAUACAUACUUGUCUUGAAAUUCUGCUCAACCCUAUGAAAAAGAGGUUGACUGUUGACUUUGCACAGCAGAUUACACUGACAAAAAGAUAUUACUUUUCCUUUUUCUUUAAAUAUAGCAGACACACAACUAAUAGAAAAUCUAAUUCUGCUCCUGGUGGUAUAAAGAUUCAACUGUGCACUGGAAUUUACCUGUUGCCUACUUUUAGAACUCCAAUUUUUUUGUUAAAUAUGUUAGUGGCAAAACAUAUCCCCUUUCUAUUAUGCUGUAUGUUUCUAACACUAACCUAAAAUUCCAGUCACAGAACGAUGUUCUAAGUGGAAAUAUGCA